AUUGGACGCUGGCGGCAGGCCUAACACAUGCAAGUCGAGCGGUAGAGAGAAGCUUGCUUCUCUUGAGAGCGGCGGACGGGCGAGUAAUGCCUAGGAAUCUGCCUGGUAGUGGGGGAUAACGUUCGGAAACGGACGCUAAUACCGCAUACGUCCUACGGGAGAAAGCAGGGGACCUUCGGGCCUUGCGCUAUCAGAUGAGCCUAGGUCGGAUUAGCUAGUUGGUGGGGUAAUGGCUCACCAAGGCGACGAUCCGUAACUGGUCUGAGAGGAUGAUCAGUAACACUGGAACUGAGACACGGUCCAGACUUCUACGGGCGGCAGCAGUGGGGAAUCUUGGACAAUGGGCGAAAGCCUGAUCCAGCCAUGCCGCGUGUGUGAAGAAGGUCUUCGGAUUGUAAAGCACUUUAAGUUGGGAGGAAGGGCAGUAAAUUAAUACUUUGCUGUUUUGACGUUACCGACAGAAUAAGCACCGGCUAACUCUGUGCCAGCCGCCGCCGUAA
rnacentral:rRNA from 1 species